rnacentral:misc_RNA from 1 species
CCCUUGCCCAUUGCCGAAGAAUACUCGCUGGACACACAACCAGAGUACCAGCAGCUGGUCUCUUUCUCUUAAAUGGCCGGGUAGAAGUACUUACUUCUGGAAUUGAUUUGAUAUCAUCAGAUUCCCCAGUCUGCUUGACUUCAACCAAACCAGGACGGCUAUUCUCAUCAUCAUCAUCUAAAUUCAAUGCUUCAGGUUUGUGAUUAGAUUGAUCUUCUGAUUUUGAUUUUGACUCCAAAGACUUUUGCAUUUGUAUGAGGGCAAUCAUUGAGACAGUUUUACCAAGACCCUGAUCAUCAGCUAGAAUUCCACCUAGACAAUGCAAGCUUCUUGUUUCCUUCUGAAGCAUCCAAGCCAAUGCAAUUUUCUGAUGUCUUAGAAGAGGCACAGACAACAGACCAUCAGGUGGAGUAGCUUCAGUUUUUGGCUGAUUGAGAUCCUCCAGUGCAGCUUGAUAAAUCAGUCUCUCAUCAUUCCCUGUAACACUUUCUUCGCCAACCAUGGGACGAUAAGCAGGGUCACUUGAACCAAACUGACCCGAGGAAAUGGACUUUCCAUGCAUCAAGGAUGGAGGCAGUGUCCUACUUCCAUUGUUUUCAUACAUCACAACAUCCUCAUAAUUGCCCCUUCCAUAAUGGUCCCUCAUAUAGCCCU